GACAGAGGGUGCAAACGUUGUUCGGAAUUACUGGGCGUAAAGCGCGUGUAGGCGGCUCAUCAAGUCGGGUGUGAAAGCCCUUGGCUCAACUGAGGAAGUGCACUCGAAACUGGCGAGCUUGAGUACUGGAGAGGAUGGUGGAAUUCUCGGUGUAGAGGUGAAAUUCGUAGAUAUCGAGAGGAACACCGGUGGCGAAGGCGGCCAUCUGGACAGAGACUGACGCUGAGACGCGAAAGCGUGGGUAG
rnacentral:rRNA from 1 species